rnacentral:rRNA from 1 species
UUCCUACGGGACGCAGCAGUGGGGGAUAUUGCACAAUGGGGGGAACCCUGAUGCAGCGACGCCGCGUGGGUGAAGGAGCGUUUCGGCGCGUAAAGCCCUAUCGACAGGGAAGAAGAUGACGGUACCUGACCAAGAAGCCCCGGCUAACUACGUGCCAGCAGCCGCGGUAAUACGUAGGGGGCAAGCGUUAUCCGGAUUUACUGGGUGUAAAGGGGGCGCAGACGGCAAUGCAAGCCAGGAGUGAAAGCCCGGGGCCCAACCCCGGGACUGCUCUUGGAACUGCAGUUCUUGAGUGAUGGAGAGGC